rnacentral:lncRNA from 1 species
CCAGCAGAGGGCGAUGGAGACCAUCCCUGGCUGGAUCACCUCCACCCCGGAGGCCCUUCACUGCCUUCACCACCCAGACAGAAGGUUCCCUCGUGAUCGGGGCGGUUUCCUUGGCACCAGCUGGCACCAGAAGGGAAUUCUCACGUGUUUAUUAAAGCAGAAGUGGCUUAAACCCAGACCCGUGUCUUAGCUUCACAGGGACUGCUGCCACCACUUGAAAUGUAGGAGUCUCAUGAAAUGAGGGACGUUGCCUGCCCGAGUCUCUGGGACCAGCGCCUGGCAUGAGGUAGGAACGAUAUCCUGUAAUCCUCGUUCGUAUUAAUACAGCGUAUUAAUCACACAGCGCGUCUCUAAGCACCUGAGCCAAACAAGUGUUUGAAUUCAUCCAUGGAAGUGAACACAGGCCCACCAGCCAGGGAUGGGCCUCAGAGGGCAGUGAGACCACUCUGCCCUGAAAUCACGCCAGGACGCGCACAUUCUAAACGCCGUGGUCGGCACUGC